GUUUAGCUGAGAAAAGACAUUUUCUCAGGAAGCGCGAAAGAAUCUUGAAGAGGAACUGGAGGACACCAGCAGUUCUUGGAGAGAGGCUGAGCAGAGAGCGUGACACUGAUGAUGAGCUGGGAUUGCCUGUCCCACCCUGUCCCCUUCCAGGCAGCGUGUCUCAGCCAAGUGCUGUGCUCAGGGAGCUUCCAGAGAGCCACAGCUGUUAUACUUAGGAGAUGCUUACACUACAGAGGGAUCCUCACAGGGAACAAAGGUGACUCUGUCUGAUGCUGUCCAGAAACCAGGCAAAGCGUCACUUCUGUUCCCAAGGAGUCUAUUGCAUGCCCACCAUGUGCUUCACGUGCAUUCAGAGGAUUGGCCCAUUGUUUCUUCAUUCAAGGGUGACUGGCACAGGCUGCCCAGAAAAGCUGCAGUGUCUUUGUCCUUCAAAACCCGACCAGAUACAUCCCUGAUCAACCUGCCCCAGCUGACCUUGCUCGGAGCUGGGAAUUUGGACCAGAAGAUCUCCAAAGAUCCCAUCCAUCCUCAAUCUUUGGGUGGUUCUAAGAGUAAGGAGAGCGGAGUACAGGUUUCUUUUGCACUGAGAAAUCCCGUCCUUUUCACUGAUGGCAUAUGAUGACAGAGAACAGUCUGUUCUGGAGUAGAUUCUGUGGAAGUCUGGAUGAAACAACUUCUAGAGUAACUUACUUGCUGGAAAAUAUGAUUUCAAGUGACUCCUGCCUUUCAAGUUUGAUAGGAUUGAUUCUGUGAGAACGCCUGGCUUCAUUUAUGUAAUUAUCUUCAUUAAUGCCAAGAAGAUUCAAUUUUGAUUAACUGUGGAAGAGGCAGAUAUUUUGUAUCAGUCUGACUACAUCAGGAGUUAAAGAAAUGUCUGAGUUGGAAUUCAGAUAACCAAGUGUUCUGGAGCAAGACAAAAACAACUACACAAUAGAUGCAGUCUUGUCUAAAACAAAACAAAUAAAUAACAAACCCCUGAUAAUA